rfam:Salmo salar isolate Sally breed double haploid chromosome ssa23, whole genome shotgun sequence.
UGCAUUCAUGACUUUAAGUUGCUCUGGAUAAGAGUGUCUGCUAAAUGUCUAAAA